rnacentral:rRNA from 1 species
UACAGAGGGUGCGAGCGUUGUCCGGAAUCACUGGGCGUAAAGGGCGCGUAGGCGGCUUGAUAAGGUUGCGGUGAAAGCCCGGGGCUCAACCCCGGGUCGGCCGUGGCAACUGUCGAGCUGGAGCACUGUAGAGGCAGGUGGAAUUCCGGGUGUAGCGGUGGAAUGCGUAGAGAUCCGGAAGAACACCGGUGGCGAAGGCGGCACUCUGGGCCGGUACUGACGCUGAGAAGCGAAAGCGUGGGGAGCAAACAGG